ACUGUGGAGAGUUAUAUACAAACGAUAGUAGCAGGAAUGCAAGGUCGGACUCGUUGAAACAGUAA
rnacentral:ncRNA from 1 species